UACGUAGGUGGCGAGCGUUGUCCGGAUUUACUGGGCGUAAAGGGAGCGUAGGCGGACUUUUAAGUGAGAUGUGAAAUACCCGGGCUCAACUUGGGUGCUGCAUUUCAAACUGGAAGUCUAGAGUGCAGGAGAGGAGAAUGGAAUUCCUAGUGUAGCGGUGAAAUGCGUAGAGAUUAGGAAGAACACCAGUGGCGAAGGCGAUUCUCUGGACUGUAACUGACGCUGAGGCUCGAAAGCGUGGGGAACAAACAGGAUUAGAUACCCUGGUA
rnacentral:rRNA from 1 species